rnacentral:rRNA from 1 species
UACGUGAGGCAGCGAGCGUUGUUCGGAGUUACUGGGCGUAAAGGGUGUGUAGGCGGUUGUUUAAGUUUGGUGUGAAAGUCUCCCGGCUCAACUGGGAGGGUGCGCCGAAUACUGAAUGACUCGAGUGUGGGAGAGGUGGAGGUGAAUUCCUGGUGUAGCGGUGAAAUGCGUAGAUAUCAGGAGGAACACCGGUGGUGUAGACGGCUCACUGGACCAUAACUGACGCUGAGACACGAAAGGCGUGGGUAGCAAACAGG